rnacentral:rRNA from 1 species
CACGUAGGGCGCGAGCGUUGUCCGGAAUUAUUGGGCGUAAAGAGCUCGUAGGUGGUCCGCCACGUCCGCUGUGAAAACCCAGGGCUUAACCCUGGGCUUGCAGUGGAUACGGGCAGACUAGAGGUAGGUAGGGGAGAAUGGAAUUCCCGGUGUAGCGGUGAAAUGCGCAGAUAUCGGGAGGAACACCUGUGGCGAAAGCGGCUCACUGGACCAUAACUGACGCUGAGGCACGAAAGCUAGGGGAGCAAACAG